AGGUGUCUUGGCUAAUGUGUCUUGGCUAAGGUGUCUUGGCUAAGGUGUCUUGGCUAAGGUGUCUUGGCUAAGGUGUCUUGGCUAAUAUGUCUUGGCUAAUGUGUUUUGGCUAAUGUAUCUUGGCUAAUGUGUCUUGGCUAAGGUGUCUUGGCUUAUGUGUCUCGGCUUAUGUGUCUUGGCUAAUGUGUCUUGGCUAAUGUGUCUUGGCUAAAGUGUUUUGGCUAAUGUGUCUUUUCUAAGGUGUCUUGGCUAAGGUGUCUUGGCUAAUGUGUCUUGGCUAAUGUGUCUUUUCUAAGGUGUCUUGGCUAAGGUGUCUUGGCUAAUGUGUCUUGGCUAAGGUGUCUUGGCUAAUGUGUCUUGGCUAAGGUGUCUUGGCUAAGGUGUCUUGGCUAAGGUGUCUUGGCUAAGGUGUCUUGGCUAAGGUGACUUGGCUAAUGUGUCUUGGCUAAGGUGUCUUGGCUAAGGUGUCUUGGCUAAUGUGUCUUGGCUAAGGUGUCUUGGCUAAUGUGUCUUGGCUAAGGUGUCUUGGCUAAGGUGUCUUGGCUAAGGUGUCUUGGCUAAGGUGUCUUGGCUAAGGUGUCUUGGCUAAGGUGUCUUGGCUAAGGUGUCUUGGCUAAGGUGUCUUGGCUAAGGUGU